UGAAAGGAGAGAAAAAAAAAGAGAAGGGAUAGAAAGAGGAGGGAGCCAGGGAAGAGGCAGUGCAUGGGAAGAGACCAAACAUAGUCAUUUGAUGUUUUGGUAAAAACUCAAUCCAUGCUCUGCUUGUUCCCUGUCUCUCUCUGAUUACCACUUUUGUCUUCUUCAUUU